rnacentral:tRNA from 1 species
GCGGUAAUGGUGGAAAUGGUAGACACGCUAGCUUGAGGUGCUAGUGGCCGAAAGGCUGUGCUUGUUCAAGUCCAGUUUACCGCA